AUCUGACAGGGCUUCAGCCACCCCACACGUGUCUUGCUGCUUCUCUAACAGAAUAAGCCAUAAACGGCUAUGAUGCCGGGGCACGGGGCUCCGGAGCAGUGUCAGUGUAACGUGAUACGAGAGUGCAGAAGAAAGAGAGGUCCCUUCCAGCUAAGAGGAUCAGAGAAGGUCCCGAUGUUGCUCCUUGCAGCCACAGUAAAGGGCAUUCUCUUUUCCCCAAACGAAGGAGCUCGACCUCAGUCUCUUUUCUGUGUAAGUGAAACACUUCCAGCUUCUGCACCAACGUCGAAGGCUAAACCCAAGAGAGGAGUGCCGCUGACUGCCGCUCGGAGCCACAGCAUCGCAGCGAGGGAAGGACCUACUCCUCCUCCUGUGACAUCCCGACAGGUGCUCACCCAGCUUGUGCUCACACAUCCUCAGUGGCAGGAAGCUCACUACCUCAUAAGGCAAGGAAAACAAAAUGGAAAAAGCCGAUCCCGCUUUGAAGGAACUCAGUUAAAGGGAGAGAUACAGAGGACAGCAGACACCUGUGCGACCAUCGCUGAGUCUGCGCACAGAGGGAAUGAAAGUGCAAGGAGGCCUGCGAGGAGAAGGCGGGAGAGCCAGCCCCAGCGAGGGCGGGGCCGAGAGCUGGAGCAGCGGCUCAGGGCUGGGGAAGUGGAGGCUGAAUGCCAGUGGAAAGGAGUGAGAGGACUCACAAAGGCCUCCCGUGGCUGUGGGGUACAGCUGUGCACUUAUUUGUCUGUCUAUAUGACUGUAGUCUGAAUCCCAGAUUCCAAGUCACCCGUAGUGAACACAGUGCCUCCCCAGAGUCAGUGCUCAAUUAUCAUUUGCUGAUGAGCUUUGAAUAAAGGGCCGAGUUCUCGGGGCUCAGGGCACAGGCGCCGUGGAGGUGGCGGGUGGCAGAGGCGUCUGCAAAGUUGGGGACGGGGCUGAGAAAGCUGGGGAGAGACGAAGAGAGCUUGCACUUUGAUGAAUGUGUAGAUAUUUCAGAGAAGCUUGGACCAGCAAUUUGGCCAAAAUAGCACCAAAAUGUGGGAAGCGUAAUCCUAGCUUUAUGCGCCAUAACUAAAUAUCAUUAAAAUCUGGUAGAUAAUUAAUACCCAAUAAAGGAAAGUUACAGUAAUUAUUUUAUAAUUUACCCCAAAUCUUAUUAUAUGUAGCAGUAUCUAGGGUCAGUUGUCUACCUCAACUUGAUGGUUUUGCUAAAUAAAUGACUAAACAAACAAAAAAGAUCCUUUAGUAAUAAAGGUUAAAAUGCAAGACUUGAAAUAAAGUAGAUUUAAUUUCUGAAUAUAGCUUUGCCACAUUCUGUGACCUUAGACAAUUAACCUAACCUCUCUGAACUUUAGGCAUCCUUUCCAUAAAAUGGAGCUAAAAUGACAAAUUUCACUGUGAAUUAAAUGAUGUGUGUUUCAG
rnacentral:lncRNA from 1 species